rnacentral:rRNA from 1 species
UCCUCUUUCCCCAAUCUUUAUCCGGAAUUAUUGGGCGUAAAGGGUGUGUAGGCGGCAUGGUUAGUCUCUUGUUAAAGCUCUCGGCUCAACCGGGAAAGUGCAAGGGAAGCGGCCAUUGCUAGAGGAUGUGAGAGGUGAAUGGAACUCAUGGUGUAGGGGUGAAAUCCGUUGAUAUCAUGGGGAACACCAAAAGCGAAGGCAAUUCACUGGCACAUUCCUGACGCUGAAACACGAAAGCGUGGGUAGCGAAUGGG